rnacentral:lncRNA from 1 species
GGCCCGGAGCGGGGCGCCUGGCAGGACACAAAAGUAACGAGAUCCCUGGCGUUCUGGGAGUAAUAAUACCAGCCCUGGCAUACUGGGAGGCUGGUUCAGAGAACUCGGCUUCAUUUCCACAGAAGAAAACAAGACACAAAGGAUAGCUUUGUGCCCUUGCCCAUUCCGCUGAGCAACAGGACACAGUCUUGGCUGAGAGCCAGCCUUGGAAAGGGCGAGAGGCUCACACGAUCAGGCUGGCGUGGUUACAAGGUGCCUCCUCAUUAAUUUCUUCCGUUGUCACUGUGUGUGAGCAUGCGUAGCAUCAGGAAGGAGCGAGCAAGCAUUAGGAGCCCUUGACAGAAGCCUCUUUUCCCUCCCAGGUCUGGUGAGGGGUGGGGGAGCCUUGCAGGAAAUGAGGACAUGAUCAAAGGUGGACAAUUAUGCAAAUAGGUAAAUGGUUUUGCGAAGAGUUCUUAAUAACAUAGGAAACGUUUAAGACGUGAACUCUGUGGCCACAACGGUCCUGGGUGUGUGGGGGGGGCGGGGGGGAGGUACGGGGUGUCCAGGGUUGGGAUCGCAUUUGUCUCUGCGAGUCUGGUGACCUUGUGGGCGGACUGAGCACUGAAAAGCCUCCUGGGAGGGCAGUCGGCCCGAAGGAAGAGCCGUGCAUGGCCGGUGACAAGGGCCUGGAGGAAGGGGUGUGGACCUCUGCUUUGGCCCUGUCCUCGUGGAUUUCCAUCUGUGUCCUGAGAGUGCCAGCUGGGAACACCCAGGAGAGAGCUUUGCACUCGGACCUCCGUGGGGUGGUGGGUGGGACGGGCCAAGUGCGUUUCCCUCCGAGUGCAGACGAGAAGGGAGCAGGAGUCGACGUGCUGGAUCACGUGGAAGGUUUAUGUUCACCUUUUCCAGGAACUGCCCAACUGGUUUCCACAGGGGCUGCACCAUUUUUCAUUCCCAUAAGCAAUGCAAGAGGGUUCCAUUUUCUCCACAUGCUCAUCAACAGUUGAAGCCUCUUCAACUUACCAUGGGAUGCAGAGAAUAAACACAUGAGCCCUUGGGCA